UACGGGGGGGGCAAGCGUUGUUCGGAAUUACUGGGCGUAAAGGGCGCGUAGGCGGCCUGCUAAGUCGGACGUGAAAUCCCUCGGCUCAACCGGGGAACUGCGUCCGAUACUGGUGGGCUUGAAUCCGGGAGAGGGAUGUGGAAUUCCAGGUGUAGCGGUGAAAUGCGUAGAUAUCUGGAGGAACACCGGUGGCGAAGGCGGUUCUCUGGUCUGAUUCUGACGCUGAGGAGCGAAAGCCAGGGGAGCAAACGGG
rnacentral:rRNA from 1 species